rfam:Trichobilharzia regenti genome assembly, scaffold: TRE_scaffold0008612
AUCCAGCUGGCGAGUCCCAAAUAGGACAGCCGAAAUGCACAUCCUGGAU